rnacentral:lncRNA from 1 species
CGACUUUACUGUGCCAGAUGUCAUCCCAAGUCCAGAAACCAUGUCUCAGGGGAGGAAUCUUUUUACUGAAGGGGCAUGAAGAGGGGAAAGAACACUGGCCCUGGGUCCAGCAUUGUAUCAGCUGCUUCACAUCCAGCAUCUAAUGCAGUUGCCCCAUCUAAUGCUCAAGCUGUAACGCUACCUUAGUUUCUCCAAUUAACAGAUGAGAGGGCCAAAGCUCCAAGUAGUUGGGCAGGUUGCCCAGGAUGGAUGCAUACGUAGAAGAUAGAACAACCCAGAGUGGUGUGAUUCCAAACCAUGCUUUCUCCAUUGCAUCACAGUGAUCUUUAAGAUCACCAGCAGAGUGGACUGGGACUUCAGGGUAAGAUCACAUCAAGAUAUCAAGUCCAGAGAGGCCAACCCCACACCGUUCACAUGAUCUCUGAAACAAUUUUCAAGAACAGCACUGUGAAUUCAACUCGACACUCUUCCAUCAAGCAAGGACGGAAAACUCCAAAUGACUGCAAGACAAGAGCUCCCAGGAAACACAGAAUUCCAGAGCAGAUUCUUCUUUUGAAGUUUCUGUGAAUAAAAUCUCAUAAUCAGAGCUUCACUGCAGCAGAUAAAUGGGCCAGCGCCUGAGCUCAAAUGCACGGAAGCAAGGAAGACCCACCCCGCCUGUCUCCCACCUCUCUCGGUGAAACCUUCCCAGAUGGCUGCCAGAAAGGCUUCAGAUUCUUGGGGAAGCAGUCAAAUGUUUCAGCAGCCAUUUGACAAGUCUGUCAUCCUCCUGCCUCUCCCUGACUCUCAGAUGAUGUCCAUAGAGAAUGGAGCUGUUGAGGAAGCCAGAAAGGAACUGAGGAAGUGACAAAUAGAUUCUUGUAUAAAACAAACCAACAAAAAUUUUAUGGGUGCAUUGAAUGCCAGGAGACUCAAAAAUAGAAGUGCCUUGGAUCUCUGUCAACCUCUAAGGGGUCCCAUGGGAGUGUGCCUCUCCUCCUUCCUCUCAAUUGCAUUCCCCAGCAUCUGUCUCCUGUGAGAGAUGCUUCCCAUCUCUGGCAUUCUACUCUACUUCAUCCUGUGUGUGACCGCCCCAGAACUGUGGAAUGGAGUUCCAAGACACAGAGAAUUGGACAAUAAGCAGUGUUGAUGAGGAUGUACAGCAACAGAGACUCUCAUCUUCCUAAGUUCAGUGGGAGCAAAUGUUGGUAAAAUCACUUUGGAAAACAGCUACUAUUAAAAAAAAAAAAGUACCACAAACCAGAUGGCUUAAAGCAACAGAAAUUUGUGACUCACAGUUCUGGAGGCCAGAAAUUCAAAAUCAAGGUGUCAGCAGAGUUUCCUGGAGGUGAGAGAUUCAUAUCUGAGCUUUCCACCUCUAAUGAGGAGCGGCUUCAUGAAGGAACGGACGGGAUUGCUCCAGAAGGUCAUUGAUUUUCAGCCUCUAAAAGGACAACUGUAAUCCUGGUUGAUCUUAACUCUCAAAUUUAAUAAAAUCAGUUUAAAUAUUUUAAAAAAAAAAAAA